CAAAUAGUUCACCUGAUUUCAUUGGUAAUAGUAUAUUUGACACUAGCCCUAAUUUUACCUACAUUUAGCUUCAUAUCUUGGUUUUUAAUGCACUAAUACACAAGUCACUAUCACUAAAAUACAUUUAUGGGAUGGAAAUGUUUUUGGGUACAGUUGAUUUACCAUGAAAUUAUGUCCUCAGUUGUCAUUAGCUUAUAAAAUGCAAAGAUUUAUGCCAGAGUUAUUUCAAGUUGAUUGGUUUCAUAGUAGAUAAAGUCCAAUAUAUCUCAGUAGAAGAAAUCUUGUGAGUUCUCGCUGUAUGUGCCCAGAGUGGGGAGCUAGUCUAAAAUCCCUAUCACUAUAAUGCUAUCUUUAGGAAAAAGAUCAUAAAAUAGGGAAAAGACUAGUUGUUCCAAAAACUUUUGGAUCUGCUUUUGGGGAAUUUUCUGUUAGAACAGCAUGAUUUUAAUACUGAUGUUUCAUAAGGAAUCACUUAAAGGGGGAAGUUUCUAGAAACUGAAUAGCACUAACUAAACUGAUAGUAUACUGUAUUAUGAAUACCAUGGUCUUCUUUCUGGCAAUAUUUUUGUUUGUCUAAAUAUUGGUAUGCCUCUUAUUAGACAUUCAUGUACUUAACUGCUCUGCUUGUUGAAUAACUUGGAUAUUUCAGGAUUAUCAGCUAGUGAUCAGGGAUCAUACUAUGUUUCAUGUAGUUAUCUAAGCACACUGCAGUUGUUGAGUUGAAAUAACAUUUAUCUUCAGUAUUGACCAUCCUGCAACUACGAUCUCUGAUUAAAGGAUUGUAGAUGGAGUAACUAAUUAAUAACUAAGGCCUGUAGACUAGUGAUUACAUUGUGCCUAUGCUUUGUGUAAAAUGGAAUUCCAUCAAUAUUGUAAUUUAAUUUAAGACUGUUCUAAAAGAGUACUAUGAUCUGAUAGCUUCAGAUAUCAUCUUUAGGGUAAAAAAAAUCAUUGCAGUAUCUUAGUAGUUAUUUAAAUAUUAUUUGUCCAUUAAAUUCUUCAGAGGACAUCACAAAAUUAAAACCAUGUAUCAAAUCAUAUUUCCAGCUGCCAUAAAUGAUAUCCUUUAAUGAGCAGUCCACCCCAAUAUGAAGAAAAAACACUAUAUCCAUCAAGUUAACUGAGCUAUGUGUGUGUUUUUAUGUAUACAUAAUAUGUAUAUAUUUAGAGCUUGAGUAGCCAGGGCUUGAAAAAUCCACUUGCAAGAUGAUUAGAAAACUUUCUUGGCUGAUUGCCAUCUUCUUCAGCAUCUAAACUUUUAACAACAGUUCUAGCGCUUAUGGUUGUAAAAGUAAUUUAUCAAUAGAGGUUAAGGUGAUAAGUGCUCUUCCAAACUUGACAGAGGGCUCCACUGCCUUCAUUGCUGCAGGCAGAGUGCAAAUGACCAGGAUUCUUGUCAGUUUCCACUGCCAUGUUUCAUAUGGUUGUUUCCAGCAGUAAAACUAACAAGGAUCUUGGUCAGUUUUAUUCUGGUAUCACUUUUGGAAGCUAUGAGCAACAGCAGAAGCAGGCAUUGCAACUGUUCUCUCGGAAGAGAGGAUUAAAGGCUGGAAGGAAGAAUUCAGACAGAAAAAUAUGAAUGAUAAUUGAGAGUUGUUUAGGAACACUUUACUAGAUGCUCAAAAAGCCACAAUCAAAGAAGAAGGCUGUCUUGAU